GGCCUUUUGUUAAAAAUUUAAGGUCUAGCCUGCUCGCUGAGGAGUUAAAGGGCCGCGGUAUUUUGACCGUGCUAAGGUAGCAUAAUCAUUAGUUUCUUAAUUAGAAGCUGGAAUGAAUGGUUGGAUGAAAAAAUUACUGUUUCAAAUUAAUUGAUAUUUAAUUUUAUCUUUAAGUAAAAAAGCUUAAAUUUUUUUAAAAGACGAGAAGACCCUAUAGAGUUUUAUAAAAUAGAUAUAAUUAAAAUUUUUAGAAAUAUUAAAUUUAAUUUUAAAUUUUAUUUGAUUGGGGUGAUUAAAAAAUUUAAUAAACUUUUUUUUAUUAUAACAUUAAUAUAUGAUUUUUUGAUCCAUUAUUUAUGAUUAAAAGAUUAAAUUACCUUAGGGAUAACAGCGUUAUUUUAUUGGAGAGUUCAAAUCGAUAAUAAAGUUUGCGACCUCGAUGUUGGAUUAAAAUUAAUUUUUGGUGAAGAAGCUAAAAAUAUUAGGUCUGUUCGACCUUUAAAAUUU
rnacentral:rRNA from 1 species